rnacentral:rRNA from 1 species
AUGACGAUCCUUUGUUGGAACUGCCGAGGUUUGGGCGACCCUCGGACAGUUCAAGAACUUACUCGCCUCGUGCAUGCUCAACAACCAAAGCUCCUGUUCUUGUCGGAGACUCGUCAAAAUAAAUUCGUAGUAGAAGGUUUACUUUGGAGGUUAGGUCUUAAACAUGUAGUAUCCUUUCAUGAGCCAGGGAAGGGGGGAGGUCUAGCCCUCUUCUGGCAUGAGGAUGUCAAAGUCGAGUUGUUUAAGAUAGGGAGUCGAGUCAUUGAUGUAAUUGUUCAUGAAUGGCCAAAAAAUAAUAAAUGGAGAUGCACGUUUGUUUAUGGUGAGCCUCGCACACAUCUUAGGCACCACAUGUGGACUUUGCUAAAAAGAAUAAAACCUAUGCUUGAUGCGCCUUGGCUAAUGGCCAGAGAUUUUAAUGAAGCUUUGUACCAAAAUGAACACUUUUCUGAAACAAAAAGAGGGGAACGACAAAUGAUGGAUUUUCGAGAAAUUCUAUCACAUUGUGACCUUCAUGACCUCGGCUUCUCCGGCACGCCAUGGACAUACGAUAACAAACAAUCUGGUAGACGUAACGUCAAGGUGCAACUUGACCGUGCGGUGGCUUGCCCAGCGUGGUCGAACAUAUUUCCGAACUGUCAGGUAAGACAUCUUGUAUCCUCGCGUUCAGAUCAUACACCCCUGUUAAUCAGUCUUACACAGAAAUCA